rnacentral:lncRNA from 11 species
UGCCACAGCAGUUUUAGACCAAACACAGCUCAAGUUUGAGUCUAGCUACAUGUUACUUUUACUAGGUAAGAAGUAACCUGGGAAGAAAGUUGUCCUAGUGAGAGCAUGAGAGAUUAAAGACCACAUGCACAAAGAUGAAACAUAUUUGCAUUAAGAACCAUCCUCUUCUCAGAGUAGACUGGAGAAAAAUAUGAGUUUAGUCCAGUCUGGAAGAACCGAAAAGAAGUCCACAUCUUCGUUAAUUUCUCCACCAUGGUGCCUCUUCUGGCCUUUUUGAAUAUCUGGAAGGGGAAAUUAUGGCAGCAACCAAGUCACUGAAACUGGGUUGCGUCAUAAGGCAACACAAGUCGUUGGAAAAGAUGACAAUGCACAGAACGCUGAAGGACACCUGGAGAAGAUGA